UUACGGCCAUACUACAUUGUAACAUUGGUUCCCUUACGAUAACAGAAGUUAAGCAAUGUCAAGCCUGUACUUAGAUGGGUGACUGCUUGGGAAUCCAAGGUGCUGUAAU